UACGUAGGGUGCAAGCGUUGUCCGGAAUCAUUGGGCGUAAAGCGCGCGUAGGCGGCCCGAUAAGUCCGCUGUAAAAGUCAACGGCUCAACUGUUGAAAGCCGGUGGAUACUGUCGGGCUAGAGUACGGAAGAGGCAAGUGGAAUUCCUGGUGUAGCGGUGGAAUGCGCAGAUAUCAGGAGGAACACCGGUGGCGAAGGCGGAUCUCUGGGCCUGUCCUGACGCUGAGGCGCGAAAGCUAGGGGGAGCAACAGG
rnacentral:rRNA from 1 species